UACGAAGGGGACUAGCGUUGUUCGGAAUCACUGGGCGUAAAGCGCACGUAGGCGGAUUUGUAAGUCAGGGGUGAAAUCCCGGGGGCUCAACCUCGGAACUGCCUUUGAUACUGCAAGUCUUGAGUCCAUAGAGGUGGGGUGGAAUUCCUAGUGUAGAGGUGAAAAUUCGUAGAUAUCAGGAGGAACACCGGUGGCGAAGGCGGGGUCUCUGGGCCGAUA
rnacentral:rRNA from 1 species